GAUGAACGCUGGCGGCGUGCCUAAUACAUGCAAGUCGAGCGAACGGACGAGAAGCUUGCUUCUCUGAUGUUAGCGGCGGACGGGUGAGUAACACGUGGAUAACCUACCUAUAAGACUGGGAUAACUUCGGGAAACCGGAGCUAAUACCGGAUAAUAUUUUGAACCGCAUGGUUCAAAAGUGAAAGACGGUCUUGCUGUCACUUAUAGAUGGAUCCGCGCUGCAUUAGCUAGUUGGUAAGGUAACGGCUUACCAAGGCAACGAUGCAUAGCCGACCUGGGAGAGUGAUCGGCGACACUGGAACUGAAACACGGUCCAGACUCCUACGGGAGGCAGCAGAAGGGAAUCUUCCGCAAUGGGCGAAAGCCUGACGGAGCAACGCCGCGUGAGUGAUGAAGGUCUUCGGAUCGUAAAACUCUGUUAUUAGGGAAGAACAUAUGUGUAAGUAACUGUGCACAUCUUGACGGUACCUAAUCAGAAAGCCACGGCUAACUACGUG
rnacentral:rRNA from 1 species